ensembl:snRNA U6 U6 spliceosomal RNA
ACACUCACUUCGGCAGUACAUAUACUAAAAUUGGAACCAUACAGAAGAUUAGCAUGCUCCUUGUCCAAGCAAGACACGCAAAUUCAUGAUGCAUUUCAUACUUUA